rnacentral:rRNA from 1 species
GACGUAGGGCGCGAGCGUUGUCCGGAUUUAUUGGGCGUAAAGAGCUCGUAGGCGGUUCGGCAAGUCGGAUGUGAAAUCUCCACGCUCAACGUGGAGGGGCCAUCCGAUACUGCCGUGACUCGAGUCCGGUAGGGGAGUGUGGAAUUCCCGGUGUAGCGGUGAAAUGCGCAGAGAUCGGGAGGAACACCCGUAGCGAAGGCGGCACUCUGGGCCGGUACUGACGCUGAGGAGCGAAAGCGUGGGGAGCGAACAGG